rnacentral:rRNA from 2 species
CCUGCUAUGGUAUAACUUAGUGGCAGACGGGUGAGUAAUGUAUAGGAAUCUACCUAGUAGUACGGAAUAAUUGUUGGAAACGACAACUAAUACCGUAUACGCCCUACGGGGGAAAAAUUUAUUGCUAUUAGAUGAGCCUAUAUUAGAUUAGCUAGUUGGUGGGGUAAUAGCCUACCAAGGUAAUGAUCUAUAGCUGAUCUGAGAGGAUGAUCAGCCACACUGGAACUGAGAUACGGUCCAGACUCCUACGGGAGGCAGCAGUGGGGAAUAUUGGACAAUGGGCGAAAGCCUGAUCCAGCCAUGCCGCAUGAGUGAAGAAGGCCUUUGGGUUGUAAAGCUCUUUUAGUGAGGAAGAUAAUGACGGUACUCACAGAAGAAGUCCUGGCUAACUCCGUGCCAGCAGCCGCGGUAAUACGGAGAGGGCUAGCGUUAUUCGGAAUUAUUGGGCGUAAAGGGCGCGUAGGCUGGUUAAUAAGUUAAAAGUGAAAUCCCGAGGCUUAACCUUGGAAUUGCUUUUAAAACUAUUAAUCUAGAGAUUGAAAGAGGAUAGAGGAAUUCCUGAUGUAGAGGUAAAAUUCGUAAAUAUUAGGAGGAACACCAGUGGCGAAGGCGUCUAUCUGGUUCAAAUCUGACGCUGAAGCGCGAAGGCGUGGGGAGCAAACAGGAUUAGAUACCCUGGUAGUCCACGCUGUAAACGAUGAAUGUUAAAUAUGGGGAGUUUACUUUCUGUAUUACAGCUAACGCGUUAAACAUUCCGCCUGGGGACUACGGUCGCAAGAUUAAAACUCAAAGGAAUUGACGGGGACCCGCACAAGCGGUGGAGCAUGUGGUUUAAUUCGAUGCAACGCGAAAAACCUUACCACUUCUUGACAUGAAAAU